rnacentral:lncRNA from 1 species
CUGCCCUCUCUGAAAACCCUAAUUCUACCACUCGUUAAUAAUCCAAUCCGCCAUUGGCGCUCACGAGAAGGAGACAACCUCCUAUCGUUCUUUUUAUCUGCAAAGAACAGCAUAGCUAAGGUACGAUAAUACCUAUACAUUUGAGCUCACUAUUUGUAUCCCUGAUUCGUUUGGAUAAGUUCUUUUAGGGCGUUCAUCAUUGUUGAUGUUGAUCUUCGUUAUUUUUUCUCAUUGUUGUUCGUCAUGCCCGGCCUUUUACAUUAGAUUCAUUUUAUUUAGAUAGUAGAUUUAUGUCUGCCUGGGAUUAUUAGGGCACGUCAGAUUUUCCUUACUCUUUGGCCUUGCCCUCACACUGCUUCUCCUUUUCUCCUGAAGCUACCUGGUUUCCUUCCUUUUGAUUUCAGAGCGUUUGAAAACCAACAAGUUGUUUGCUUUAGGAAUUCGUGUGUUUUUAGUAGCUUUGGGGGUUUCCAUCUCUGGGGUUUAUUAAGGGCUUUUGUAUUCAUUUUGCAAUCUCUUUCUCCUCAAUUCCGUGUGUUCAUUUUCAUUUGGACUGAGUAAGCUACCCUCCUCUCGAUCCCCUUUCUUGCUAUAUAAUUCUCCCCUCCCCCCUUGAAAGAGAUAGAAGAGUAAUCUUAAGAUAUGUUGUUGUGACAUUUAAUAAAUAUGCUUCCAAUACACUAUGUGUGCAUCCUAGUCUUCUAUUGCGGUAGUGACAUUUCGUUUGGUGGACUUUUUAAAUCAUGUUUCUGUGGAUUAAUUCUCAGAUGGUGUUAUAUAUCUGGUGCAUCUCAUCCACUAACUUGACUCCCGUUGCUACCAUAGGAUAAGUUGGAUGGAUAUCAUCAGUCGAGGGAUUUGAUUCCGCUGUUAUCUUGUAAGGUGCUUACUCUGACGUUUAUUGUAUUAAGUGCACAAGGCUCCAAAUUCAUGCUCCACAAGAUACAACAUACAGAACAUUGGGAUUCAUUAAAUGUUCUUUUUUUAACCGAGCCCUCUUUUCUCUUUUAAACACACAUUCUUAGUUCAAUCGUAUCUUUUAGCGUCCUUUUUUCUUUAGCUUUUAAGUUCAGUGGUAAUAUUCUGUGUAAAGCGGAUGGAAGCCAAAUUCACAGCUUUCAUAUUCAAGGCAUCUAUAUUGCUGUGGAAAAUUUACAGAAUCUUCUCUAUGCGUAUGGGAUGAUGAGUUUUAAGUAUAAGCAUCUAUGCUUCACUCCAGUACGACUAUAAUACCAAUGAUUCUAGGAGAGGCAUCUAUCUGAUCUUUUUCUUUUGAGCGUAGAGAAAUUUUAGUUUAGUGUAAUGAAAUUUCUCUAGCAUGACAUCAUGACAUGUAGUCAUGUCUGAAUUCAUGUCCUCCUAUAUUAUAUAUUUAUAUUAUCUUCUUCAGCAA